UACGGGGGGGGCAAGCGUUGUUCGGAAUUACUGGGCGUAAAGGGCUCGUAGGUGGCCAACUAAGUCAGACGUGAAAUCCCCAGGCUCAACUUGGGAACUGCGUCUGAUACUGGAUGGCUUGAAUCCGGGAGAGGGAUGCAGAAUUCCAGGUGUAGCGGUGAAAUGCGUAGAUAUCUGGAGGAACACCGGUGGCGAAGGCGGCAUCCUGGACCAAUAUUGACGCUGAGGAGCGAAAGCCAGGGGAGCAAACGGG
rnacentral:rRNA from 1 species